GGUUAAGCGACUAAGCGUACACGGUGGAUGCCCUGGCAGUCAGAGGCGAUGAAGGACGUGCUAAUCUGCGAUAAGCGUCGGUAAGGUGAUAUGAACCGUUAUAACCGGCGAUUUCCGAAUGGGGAAACCCAGUGUGAUUCGUCACACUAUCAUUAACUGAAUCCAUAGGUUAAUGAGGCGAACCGGGGGAACUGAAACAUCUAAGUACCCCGAGGAAAAGAAAUCAACCGAGAUUCCCCCAGUAGCGGCGAGCGAACGGGGAGCAGCCCAGAGCCUGAAUCAGUGUGUGUGUUAGUGGAAGCGUCUGGAAAGGCGCGCGAUACAGGGUGACAGCCCCGUACACAAAAAUGCACAUGCUGUGAGCUCGAUGAGUAGGGCGGGACACGUGGUAUCCUGUCUGAAUAUGGGGGGACCAUCCUCCAAGGCUAAAUACUCCUGACUGACCGAUAGUGAACCAGUACCGUGAGGGAAAGGCGAAAAGAACCCCGGCGAGGGGAGUGAAAAAGAACCUGAAACCGUGUACGUACAAGCAGUGGGAGCACGCUUAGGCGUGUGACUGCGUACCUUUUGUAUAAUGGGUCAGCGACUUAUAUUCUGUAGCAAGGUUAACCGAAUAGGGGAGCCGAAGGGAAACCGAGUCUUAACUGGGCGUUAAGUUGCAGGGUAUAGACCCGAAACCCGGUGAUCUAGCCAUGGGCAGGUUGAAGGUUGGGUAACACUAACUGGAGGACCGAACCGACUAAUGUUGAAAAAUUAGCGGAUGACUUGUGGCUGGGGGUGAAAGGCCAAUCAAACCGGGAGAUAGCUGGUUCUCCCCGAAAGCUAUUUAGGUAGCGCCUCGUGAAUUCAUCUCCGGGGGUAGAGCACUGUUUCGGCAAGGGGGUCAUCCCGACUUACCAACCCGAUGCAAACUGCGAAUACCGGAGAAUGUUAUCACGGGAGACACACGGCGGGUGCUAACGUCCGUCGUGAAGAGGGAAACAACCCAGACCGCCAGCUAAGGUCCCAAAGUCAUGGUUAAGUGGGAAACGAUGUGGGAAGGCCCAGACAGCCAGGAUGUUGGCUUAGAAGCAGCCAUCAUUUAAAGAAAGCGUAAUAGCUCACUGGUCGAGUCGGCCUGCGCGGAAGAUGUAACGGGGCUAAACCAUGCACCGAAGCUGCGGCAGCGACGCUUAUGCGUUGUUGGGUAGGGGAGCGUUCUGUAAGCCUGUGAAGGUGUACUGUGAGGUAUGCUGGAGGUAUCAGAAGUGCGAAUGCUGACAUAAGUAACGAUAAAGCGGGUGAAAAGCCCGCUCGCCGGAAGACCAAGGGUUCCUGUCCAACGUUAAUCGGGGCAGGGUGAGUCGACCCCUAAGGCGAGGCCGAAAGGCGUAGUCGAUGGGAAACAGGUUAAUAUUCCUGUACUUGGUGUUACUGCGAAGGGGGGACGGAGAAGGCUAUGUUGGCCGGGCGACGGUUGUCCCGGUUUAAGCGUGUAGGCUGGUUUUCCAGGCAAAUCCGGAAAAUCAAGGCUGAGGCGUGAUGACGAGGCACUACGGUGCUGAAGCAACAAAUGCCCUGCUUCCAGGAAAAGCCUCUAAGCAUCAGGUAACAUCAAAUCGUACCCCAAACCGACACAGGUGGUCAGGUAGAGAAUACCAAGGCGCUUGAGAGAACUCGGGUGAAGGAACUAGGCAAAAUGGUGCCGUAACUUCGGGAGAAGGCACGCUGAUAUGUAGGUGAAGCGACUUGCUCGUGGAGCUGAAAUCAGUCGAAGAUACCAGCUGGCUGCAACUGUUUAUUAAAAACACAGCACUGUGCAAACACGAAAGUGGACGUAUACGGUGUGACGCCUGCCCGGUGCCGGAAGGUUAAUUGAUGGGGUUAGCGCAAGCGAAGCUCUUGAUCGAAGCCCCGGUAAACGGCGGCCGUAACUAUAACGGUCCUAAGGUAGCGAAAUUCCUUGUCGGGUAAGUUCCGACCUGCACGAAUGGCGUAAUGAUGGCCAGGCUGUCUCCACCCGAGACUCAGUGAAAUUGAACUCGCUGUGAAGAUGCAGUGUACCCGCGGCAAGACGGAAAGACCCCGUGAACCUUUACUAUAGCUUGACACUGAACAUUGAGCCUUGAUGUGUAGGAUAGGUGGGAGGCUUUGAAGUGUGGACGCCAGUCUGCAUGGAGCCGACCUUGAAAUACCACCCUUUAAUGUUUGAUGUUCUAACGUUGACCCGUAAUCCGGGUUGCGGACAGUGUCUGGUGGGUAGUUUGACUGGGGCGGUCUCCUCCUAAAGAGUAACGGAGGAGCACGAAGGUUGGCUAAUCCUGGUCGGACAUCAGGAGGUUAGUGCAAUGGCAUAAGCCAGCUUGACUGCGAGCGUGACGGCGCGAGCAGGUGCGAAAGCAGGUCAUAGUGAUCCGGUGGUUCUGAAUGGAAGGGCCAUCGCUCAACGGAUAAAAGGUACUCCGGGGAUAACAGGCUGAUACCGCCCAAGAGUUCAUAUCGACGGCGGUGUUUGGCACCUCGAUGUCGGCUCAUCACAUCCUGGGGCUGAAGUAGGUCCCAAGGGUAUGGCUGUUCGCCAUUUAAAGUGGUACGCGAGCUGGGUUUAGAACGUCGUGAGACAGUUCGGUCCCUAUCUGCCGUGGGCGCUGGAGAACUGAGGGGGGCUGCUCCUAGUACGAGAGGACCGGAGUGGACGCAUCACUGGUGUUCGGGUUGUCAUGCCAAUGGCACUGCCCGGUAGCUAAAUGCGGAAGAGAUAAGUGCUGAAAGCAUCUAAGCACGAAACUUGCCCCGAGAUGAGUUCUCCCUGACUCCUUGAGAGUCCUGAAGGAACGUUGAAGACGACGACGUUGAUAGGCCGGGUGUGUAAGCGCAGCGAUGCGUUGAGCUAACCGGUACUAAUGAACCGUGAGGCUUAACCUU
rnacentral:rRNA from 1 species